UUGGAAACGGGAGAUGGCAUUCCUCCCCCGACCCAACCGCCGCAAGGCUGAUGAUGCCUACCCGUCG
rnacentral:ncRNA from 2 species